CCUACGGGAGGCAGCAGUAAGGAAUAUUGGUCAAUGGACGAAAGUCUGAACCAGCCAUGCCGCGUGAAGGAUGAAGGUCCUCUGGAUUGUAAACUUCUUUUAUCUGGGACGAAAAAAGGGAAUUCUUUCUCACUUGACGGUACCAGAAGAAUAAGCACCGGCUAACUCCGUGCCAGCAGCCGCGGUAAUACGGAGGGUGCAAGCGUUAUCCGGAUUCACUGGGUUUAAAGGGUGCGUAGGUGGGCAGUUAAGUCAGUGGUGAAAUCUCCGGGCUUAACCCGGAAACUGCCAUUGAUACUAUCUGUCUUGAAUACUCUGGAGGUAAGCGGAAUAUGUCAUGUAGCGGUGAAAUGCUUAGAUAUGACAUAGAACACCGAUUGCGAAGGCAGCUUACUACGGAGUCAUUGACACUGAGGCACGAAAGCGUGGGGAUCAAACAGGAUUAGAUACCCUGGUAGUCCACGCCCUAAACGAUGGAUACUCGACAUUUGCGAUACACAGUAAGUGUCUGAGAGAAAGCAUUAAGUAUCCCACCUGGGAAGUACGACCGCAAGGUUGAAACUCAAAGGAAUUGACGG
rnacentral:rRNA from 1 species